GGUCUCUUUGUGCACCCGCCCACACGGUUUGCCGUGUUUUCACCCUUCUUUGUUCUCCACCGGUCUGGGCAGGGUCUGAGGACUCCGGAGAGCAAGGCAUGGGUCCGCCUCGUGCCGCAGGUUCCUGGCCCACGCCAGCCGUACCCAGUAGCACAAUGGGAUUUGAGGACACACGCCAGCUGCCUACACCUGAAGAAAGGGCUUUGCUGCUACGCACUGACAAGUUGGACGGCUUUUUAUUGCUUUGUUGCCAGUUAUCUGAACAUGAGAGGCUGUAAGGUGUAAUCUGCGAGCCCUGCGCCCAGACUGAACCAGGGCCUCCCUUGAACAUGAGUAUUAGACAAAUGAAAUAAGAACUUAUCUUGCCCAGACUAUAUAAUGGCUUGGAAAUGCAUAGUUUCCUGAACGAUCUCAAUAAAAUACUUUUAAAAGUA
rnacentral:sRNA from 1 species